rnacentral:rRNA from 1 species
CUACGGGUCGCAGCAGUGGGGAAUAUUGCACAAUGGACGAAAGUCUGAUGCAGCAACGCCGCGUGGAGGAUGACACAUUUCGGUGCGUAAACUCCUUUUAUAUAGGAAGAUAAUGACGGUACUAUAUGAAUAAGCGCCGGCUAACUCCGUGCCAGCAGCCGCGGUAAUACGGAGGGCGCAAGCGUUACUCGGAAUCACUGGGCGUAAAGAGCGUGUAGGCGGAUAGAUAAGUCAGGAGUGAAAUCCUAUGGCUCAACCAUAGAACUGCUCUUGAAACUGUCUAUCUAGAAUAUGGGAGAGGUAGAUGGAAUUUCUGGUGUAGGGGUAAAAUCCGUAGAGAUCAGAAGGAAUACCGAUUGCGAAGGCGAUCUACUGGAACAUUAUUGACGCUGAGACGCGAAAGCGUGGGGAGCAAACAGGAUUAGAUACCCCCGUAGUC